AUCCAUGGUCUUGGAUGCUCAGAGUCAACAGAGGCUGAAAGGGAAACUAGAAACACAUCGAGCAGUAAUGAGGUGUGCACUAGAGUGAUUCAACACUUCCAUACAACACCAGCAAAAGAUAUUUUCACAGGCCCCAGAAGAUGAACUUCAAUCUGUUGCUCCCAAACACAUUCUCCACUGUCUGGAAGACGUGCAAAGGCAAUGGUACAGCGUUCUCCAUCUCAAAUCCUUCAAAGUGCUGUGGAAAUAAAAGAAUCCCCGCCAAAAGCCCCAGAGAGAUCUGUCUGUCUGUAUGGUAUGGUAAUGACUGAGGCUAGUCCAGAUAGGAUUCUGGGAGAAACUCAGCUAUUGAAACCUAAUGAAUGGAACAGAGACUUUCUUGUUACAAUACUGUUUGUUUCUUCGAUUGGUCAUAUCCUUGGACCUAA